rnacentral:lncRNA from 1 species
UUACAUUCCAGUCCUCCAGCCCUGCCUCCUAUCUUUUGAGACAGUGUCUCCCUAAGUUGCCUAGUCUGGUCUUGGAUUUAUGACUCUCCUGCCUCAGCCUCCCAACGUUCUGGAUUACAGGCCUGGGCCCCCUCCCUGAGUGUGCUGGCUGAUUUCCACGCUGUGACGAGCAGAAGUGGUGAAACCUCUGCCUGUGGCCAGCCCGGGACCCACCCUGCAUCAGUGCUGUCCAGCAGGAACAGUAAGUCAC